rnacentral:misc_RNA from 1 species
AAGUCGUAACAAGGUUUCCGUAGGUGAACCUGCGGAAGGAUCAUUACAGAAUAUCCUCUGUCAAAGGGCGCUUCCGUGCCCGAAUAAACAAACACUCUGCACCUACCUGUAGCAAGCAAGGUGGAAACCAAUGUUGGCUGGUGGCCGUUUUGUUUACACGCAUCGGUUCCUUCAGGAUGCGUGGACGUGCUGCCGACCAAGCCUUUGGUCUCCACGCCGCUGCUACGUUCUUCUAUUUACACAUCUGUCGCAUGUUGGUGGCAUCCUGUGCCCCUAAAUAUAUAUAAAAUAUAACUUUCAACAACGGAUCUCUUGGCUCUC